rnacentral:rRNA from 1 species
UGAGCAAUCUGCCCUUAACUCUGGGAUAAGCCUGGGAAACUGGGUCUAAUACCGGAUAUGACUCCUCAUCGCAUGGUGGGGGGUGGAAAGCUUUAUUGUGGUUUGGAUGGACUCGCGGCCUAUCAGCUAGUUGGUGUGGGUAACGGCCCACCAAGGCGACGACGGGUAGCCGGCCUGAGAGGGUGACCGGCCACACUGGGACUGAGACACGGCCCAGACUCCUACGGGAGCAG